rnacentral:misc_RNA from 1 species
UUUCCGUAGGUGAACCUGCGGAAGGAUCAUUACUGAGUGAGGGCCCCUCGGGGUCCAACCUCCCACCCGUGUUUAACGAACAUUGUUGCUUCGGCGGGCCCGCCUCACGGCCGCCGGGGGGCAUCUGCCCCCGGGCCCGCGCCCGCCGAAGCCACCCGUGAACGCUGUCUGAAGUAUGCAGUCUGAGACAAUUAUUAAAUUAAUUAAAACUUUCAACAACGGAUCUCUUGGUUCCG